CUCCGGUGUUUUGGAUUACCGGGAAGAAGAAGAACAGGUUUCCAGGCCCCGGGGGAAUACUGACGUGGAGCCGGGCCGGUUAACGGUCACGUUAACUGGCUACCGUUAGCCGACAGCAGAGAGACAGGAUGACGCACAGCAAAUGACUUCAGGCUGCUAUAUCAAGGCCUGUGUCUUUAUACAUUGAGCACACGCUCUACCAGGCAGUUCUGUGGAUGGAUGAGUCUUGGAGAUCCUGACUUCAGAGUAUAUGGUAUCAGUCGGUGAGGAAACUGCAACACCAAACACAAAACCGCUGAUGGAAGUGCUGCGCGUGAACACAGUUCUGUGCUGCAGGAAAGACUGGACAGGAAAAGUUGAUGGAGAAAGACAGCGUGUGACUUUUCUGUGCUGAGAGAACACGUUAACUAAUGUGGAAAUACAAGGAUGUGAUCAAACAAAUGGGAAUAAAUAGUCUCAUGAAGCUGCA